GAAGAAAAAGGAAUCUGCAAUCAAAAGUCACGCGAGGAGACUUCUCUCUCUACUUCUCGGUUCUAAACCCAGAGUUCGUUGCCAAACAUUUUCUUCUGAUCUGCAAUUUAUGUUACAUGCUGGACAUGGGUGUUUCAUAGUAGUAUUUUUGUUCUUCAAAGCUGGAGGCCUUUUUCACAGAUUCACGAGAUCCAGUUCUCCUUUUCCUCUUUGGGUGCAUGUUUGUGGAUUACCGAUAGAUCUUUAUACUUUUUGGAACCGCACAGUUUAUAGGCAACAAGAUGGGUGAUUUUCCACAGUAUGAUGAAACAAGUCUGUGGCAAUCUUUCAAUUUAAGAUUUCAAAUAAGAAUGAAUUGGGACGCUUAUUUGCAUACGCAUGGUGUUCUUUCUUUCGCUUCUGGACGUGAGUGUCAGUUUCAACUACAGUAUGAAUGAUUGGUUCAGUUUUGUUUAAAUUGUCUUCAACCAGGACAUGUUCAGAAAAGCUGCUUAAAUGGCCCUUUUAAUUUAUCUUCUUAGUUUGCUGAUUCUUUGGUGGGUUCAAAGAUUACUCAACCAAAGUUUCUUUUGACUGGUUGAAUCUCAAACACAAGGUUAUAGAUCUACGGAGUUCUCUCUUGUGCAGUUUGUCUGGACUUUUUUCACUGUUCUGCUCUGCAGUUUCAGAUGAUGUCACCAAAAGUUUUCCAGCUUGGGUUUUCAAGAUCAUUGAUGAAGAUUAUUCUGAUUUGCCAAAUGUCAAUAUGCAUGUGUAUGACGUGUUGCCAAAGGAUUCAUCUAGGUGUCGUAAAAGGAAUGAGAGAUGAAACUUUAGAAAGGGCAAAGGGGGAAAAAUAUAACAAAGUCAUUAAAAUCCAAUCUUUUCCAUCUCUGCUGCUUUGGGAGGUUCGUCUUCAACCAGGAAUCGCCAAGUGUAUCACGUUUACCGAAAUCCUUUCCCAUUUUCGCAUAUGGAUCGUCUUCCUUCUCUCGAGCUUGCCACGUCUCAAAUUUCACUUUGACUCACUUGAACUCAGUUGAAUGUUCAAGCUUCAGUCAAAGACUCGUUCAAGCUGCUUCUACUCAAUGGCGAUCAUUUCCUUUGGCUUUAUAUUUUGCAAUGGCAAUCCUUUCAUAGAGAACAUGAACAUAUCUCCCCUUGUUAUUAUGAGGAUGGUGUUGAGAAUCCUGCUACCAGCUCAGCGAUUGCUCUUUCUUUAGGUCCCAGUUUGGGUUUCGUCUAUUUUUCUUCUCCAGGUGUCAAGCGCAAGUUUUGUAAUAGUUUUCAUAGAUUGACCUCAGCAAUCAGAUUAUGGACCUCUGAGUUUGUUUGCAACUGCUCAAGGGUCCAAAGUGCAGGCCUGCAUUUUGAUU